CCCAUCUCUACAAAAAAGAAAGAAAGAAAAAAAAAGAUGUGUACUUUAAAAGUAUGCAGGGAGGGAGGAAGGGCAGAAAGGGAGCCAAAUAUGAAUAAUAUACUAUUAGUAAAUGCAACAAAGUAUGUCAAAUAUAGAUGAUUGUCACUCACAUGUGGUUUCAUGCUGUAAUGGGUCCACUCUAAAAGAUUCAGAUCAGUAUUUCUUUUGGUCUUACUUUCAUCC